rnacentral:rRNA from 1 species
AGUGAACGCUGGCGGUAGGCCUAACACAUGCAAGUCGAACGGCAGCACAGUAAGAGCUUGCUCUUACGGGUGGCGAGUGGCGGACGGGUGAGGAAUACAUCGGAAUCUACUUUUUCGUGGGGGAUAACGUGGGGAAACUUACGCUAAUACCGCAUACGACCUACGGGUGAAAGCAGGGGAUCUUCGGACCUUGCGCGAUUGAAUGAGCCGAUGUCGGAUUAGCUAGUUGGCGGGGUAAAGGCCCACCAAGGCGACGAUCCGUAGCUGGUCUGAGAGGAUGAUCAGCCACACUGGAACUGAGACACGGUCCAGACUCCUACGGGAGGCAGCAGUGGGGAAUAUUGGACAAUGGGCGCAAGCCUGAUCCAGCCAUACCGCGUGGGUAAAGAAGGCCUUCGGGUUGUAAAGCCCUUUUGUUGGGAAAGAAAAGCAGCAGGUUAAUACCCCGCUGUUCUGACGGUACCCAAAGAAUAAGCACCGGCUAACUUCGUG